GAAAAUAAGUAGCGUUUUCCUUCUUCCCCUGCCUGUGGAGUCUGCACACCAGAUUCACGCCCUCCCACAAGUUCUGGCCAGGAGACUUCUCUAUCGGUUCAAAUUGUUAACAACGUUCAGCUGGAGGUUUCUUUCUCCCCGGUUCAAAUUGUUAACAACGUUCAGCUGGAGGUUUCUUUCUCCCCGUGGCCUUUUCCCAGUGCCUCUGGCAGCCCUCCUCGAGGAUCCCUGUGAGGCAAGGGAGAAAUGGCUUGGUAGGGGACCCAGCGAGCCCACAGGGAUUUUCCUGCUGCUUCCUCUACCCCUCUAUUUCACUCUGCUCUCUAGUUCGACUCAACUCCAGGAUGGUUUAUAAUCAGCUAUAGGACUUUAACAGCUGCUCUCAUAUGCAGAUUACUGAUAACUUUGGAGACUGUGACAUUGGAAUAGAGGAAAACCUACAGGACUCAUGAAGAGCUGAAAUGUUCACGAAUAUCAAGAAGAACAAGAGUUAAACAUAUGUAUUUAUAAAACUUUGAAACAUAUUUUAUCUUCUCUCAACUCCUGUGACUCCAUACCCAAUAUUUACAGUAUUAAAACUUAUAGAUUUCUGGCAUUUCAACCACUGUUGUCUAAUACUGUAUGGAAAUGUAUAACUCUUAAAAAUGUUCAAGUUGAUCUGAGCUAAAGCAAGAAAAAAAUGAGCACAAAGUAAAGGAAGCAAUUCUAAUAAUUGAAACAACAAACAACAAAGAAUCUGAUAGAGAAAACAUUUCCUAAAGCACAGAGUUAAACAAAACUAGAAAUGUGUAAAUGUAUGACAUCAAGUACUGUAUGAAAAGUGCAUUUUUUAGUUUAGAAAAUGUAGUGAUGAUCUUUAUUAUGCACUUAUGUAAAUGUAGGGUACAUACCCAAAUACUAAGACUAUGUAGUAGGUGCUGUAAUAAAUUUAUUCAGAAAUUUUUUCAAAAAUUUCUUUUCUUACAGUAAGAGCCUUCAACAAUAUUGAACCUUCAAUAAGAAUAAUUUAUCUCAACAAUACAUUAGUUCAUUUCACAUGUAUUACACAUCUAACAUGUUAUCAGACACAAUAAAUACAAAAAUUAAUAACAUUAGUUUUCUCAAAUGAUGUACAGCCAAUCAGUUUCUUGACAUCUAUAAGCAAAGAGGCCAAGUAAGGCAAAAGAUCUUAGUUCAACAAGUUUCCUCAGUGAAGGGCAAUAGAAGGGGUCAAUAGGGUAGAGAAGGAGAAAUGAGAUAACUUUAGGUCAUUUGCAGGGGAAGAGCAUGAGAAUGAUGCACAUCAAAUAGGUAAGUAUUAAUAUAAAUUGAAAGCUAAUACACACCAUGGAGACACUGGAUUCUGCAGAAGAGCACAGUCAGCAGGAUAGGAUAUCAGAGGCACAUAUGAAGGGCACGUAAAUAAAGCUAUUAGGUAAAACAAAAGUAUAUUCAUUGAGUUUAUAGCUUUGCUUGCAUGUUUUAGUUUAUGUUCCCCAAAACAGAGUUCAUAGAACAAAGUUUCCCAGCUGAGUGCAUACUGUUAAUCCUGAUCAUAGGAGCACCAAAACAUCUUCAGUGAAUCCAGCAAAUUCCAUGCAUAUAACUCCUUGCCUCUGUUUGGUAGCAGACGUUGUAUUUCCUCAUAAUAAUCAAGGUCUAUUAUCUAUGAUUGAAAAGAAACAUUUCUUUAUCUGAUUGUCCACUCGAUUGAGAAGCUCAAAGGGACCAAGUAGUGCUCCCAACAUUAAGUUCAGUGGAAUGGUGAUUGGGCCAACUGGUGAAAGCAUUGCCUCCUGGGAAGCCAAGACCUUUCAGUCAGUAGAACCCUAAGGCUGAAGAAACUAGAAAUACAAAUACUGGAAGUGAGUCAGCAGGAGUGAUGGUAAAAAAUGUCAAACUUCCCUAUACCCCUUGGAAACAUUAUUUAGCAUUUGACCACAGAAUGAUAUGUCAGUCUUGGUUCCAUGACAAUACUGUAUUCUGUACGAUAUAACUUUGACUGUACCAUGUUGUCAUCCACAACAAUUGCUUUAGGCAAGCCUUUAAGAAAUUAUAAUAAAGGUCUAACAGGCCACAGGUUUUCAGGUGAUACAGCAAUCAGU
rnacentral:lncRNA from 10 species